ensembl:miRNA
UGAGGCAGGAGAAUUGCUUGAACCCAGGAGGUGGAGGUUGCAGUGAGCCGAGAUUGUGCCACUGUACUCCAGCCUGGGUGACAGAGAGAGACUC